UACGGGGGGAGCAAGCGUUGUUCGGAUUUACUGGGCGUAAAGGGCGCGUAGGCGGCCAGCACAAGUCAGUUGUGAAAUCUCCGGGCUUAGCUCGGAAAGGUCAACUGAUACUGUGCGGCUAGAGUGCAGAAGGGGCAACUGGAAUUCUCGGUGUAGCGGUGAAAUGCGUAGAUAUCGAGAGGAACACCUGCGGCGAAGGCGGCUUUCUGGACGGUAACUGACGCUGAGACGCGAAAGCGUGGGGAGCAAACAGG
rnacentral:rRNA from 1 species